CCUACGGGCGGCAGCAGUGAGGAAUAUUGGUCAAUGGGCGAGAGCCUGAACCAGCCAAGUCGCGUGAGGGAGUACUGCCCUAUGGGUUGUAAACCUCUUUUGUCGGGGAGCAAACGCCGGCCGUGUCCGGCUGUUAGAGUACCCGAAGAAAAAGCAUCGGCUAACUCCGGUCCAGCAGCCGCGGUAAUACGGAGGAUGCGAGCGUUAUCCGGAUUUAUUGGGUUUAAAGGGUACGCAGGCGGAUUUUUAAGUCAGCGGUCAAAUCGUGGGGCUCAACCCCAUCCAGCCGGUGAAACUGGGGAUCUAGAGUGUGCGAGGGGUAGGCGGAAUGCGUGGUGUAGCGGUGAAAUGCAUAGAUAUCACGCAGAACCCCGAUUGCGAAGGCAGCAUACCGGUGCACAACUGACGCUCAGGCACGAAAGCGUGGGUAUCGAACAGGAUUAGAUACCCCUGUAGUC
rnacentral:rRNA from 1 species